rnacentral:rRNA from 1 species
CCUACGGGUGGCUGCAGUGGGGAAUAUUGCACAAUGGGCGCAAGCCUGAUGCAGCCAUGCCGCGUGUGUGAAGAAGGCCUUCGGGUUGUAAAGCACUUUCAGCGGGGAGGAAGGCGUUAAGGUUAAUAACCUUGGCGAUUGACGUUACCCGCAGAAGAAGCACCGGCUAACUCCGUGCCAGCAGCCGCGGUAAUACAGAGGGUGCAAGCGUUAAUCGGAAUUACUGGGCGUAAAGCGCACGCAGGCGGUCUGUCAAGUCGGAUGUGAAAUCCCCGGACUCAACCUGGGAACUGCAUUCGAAACUGGCAGGCUAGAGUCUUGUAGAGGGGGGUAGAAUUCCAGGUGUAGCGGUGAAAUGCGUAGAGAUCUGGAGGAAUACCGGUGGCGAAGGCGGCCCCCUGGACAAAGACUGACGCUCAGGUGCGAAAGCGUGGGGAGCAAACAGGAUUAGAUACCCGAGUAGUC